UUUCUGAAUUGUUUUAUUGGGUUUCAAGGUUUUCGAUUUAUUUCUGUCGGCCAAUUGUGUUUGAUCAGGCAAUGGACAGCAACAGUUGGAGGGCGCCUCAAAGACAGAUGGCUCAGGGUCCGCAUCAAGGUGGUCAAGUAGGCGGCAGUGGAGAAGUAUCGGCUGUCCCAAAUGCAGCUCCGCCGGCUACUAUUGACAGCGGCGAUUGGAGGACUCAACUCCAAGCAGAUUAUCGUCAAAGAAUCGUUAAUAAGAUAAUGGAGAUUUUGAAGAGGCAUCUGCCAUUCGCUGGAGAAGAGGGACUGCGAGAACUUAAGAAAAUUGCUGUGAGGUUUGAGGAAAAGAUUUAUAGUGCAGCAACUAGCCAGUCAGAUUAUUUGAGAAAGAUAUCAUUGAAGAUGCUGACAAUGGAAACUAAAUCCCAAAAUCCCAUGGCUAAUCCUCUACAAGCUAAUGCUGCCAAUGCAAGCAAAAAUCCUCCAGACCAAGAUCUUUGAAGCAAGUGCGGAAGGAAGCCUUUGGUGAAGUUUUUGAAGAAAGGAAGCUCUUGAUUUGCUUUCCAUCUUGGGGUUUGAGAUUUUGAGAGUGGCCAGGAAGUAGAGUCUGAGCUUGUCAUUGAUAGACCUUAAUUAGUUGGGGGCAAGAACAUGGGCGUGUGAGUUGGAGAAGGUUGGCGCUUUGGUCUAGGUCCCUCGUCUUUUGUUCUAGUGUUCUCUUCUAGUUUUAGCGGUUUGACUUGAACUUGAAUCUCUUAUUAUAUUAUGGGUCUGUAUGGGAAUUUGAUGACCAUGAAUGUAUAUAUCUAAAUUUCGAAUUUGCUAUUGCUUUUAUUA